rnacentral:lncRNA from 1 species
UCGUUAAAAGUAAAAAUAAAAAAAAUUAAUUUAAUAAAAAUUAAAAUCGAAGGAAAAUAAUAUCUAUAGGGAUGAGUUCAUUAAAAGUGAAAAUAAGAGAAUCAAUUUCAUAAAAAUAAAAUUAAAAGAGCCAAAAUCAUAAAUUUGAAAAAAAAUGGAGAAACAAUACUUGUAUUUGAGUCAAAAUAACAAACUAAGAUUAUGUUUGCA